rnacentral:rRNA from 1 species
GGUGAAAAGCACCCCGGAAGGGGAGUGAAAUAGAACCUGAAACCGUGUGCUUACAAGUAGUCAGAGCCCGUUAAUGGGUGAUGGCGUGCCUUUUGUAGAAUGAACCGGCGAGUUACGAUUUGAUGCAAGGUUAAGCAGUAAAUGUGGAGCCGUAGCGAAAGCGAGUCUGAAUAGGGCGUUUAGUAUUUGGUCGUAGACCCGAAACCAGGUGAUCUACCCUUGGUCAGGUUGAAGUUCAGGUAACACUGAAUGGAGGACCGAACCGACUUACGUUGAAAAGUGAGCGGAUGAACUGAGGGUAGCGGAGAAAUUCCAAUCGAACCUGGAGAUAGCUGGUUCUCUCCGAAAUAGCUUUAGGGCUAGCCUCAAGUGAUGAUUAUUGGAGGUAGAGCACUGUUUGGACGAGGGGCCCCUCUCGGGUUACCGAAUUCAGACAAACUCCGAAUGCCAAUUAAUUUAACUUGGGAGUCAGAACAUGGGUGAUAAGGUCCGUGUUCGAAAGGGAAACAGCCCAGACCACCAGCUAAGGUCCCAAAAUAUAUGUUAAGUGGAAAAGGAUGUGGCGUUGCCCAGACAACUAGGAUGUUGGCUUAGAAGCAGCCAUCAUUUAAAGAGUGCGUAAUAGCUCACUAGUCGAGUGACACUGCGCCGAAAAUGUACCGGGGCUAAACAUAUUACCGAAGCUGUGGAUUGUCCUUUGGACAAUGGUAGGAGAGCGUUCUAAGGGCGUUGAAGCAUGAUCGUAAGGACAUGUGGAGCGCUUAGAAGUGAGAAUGCCGGUGUGAGUAGCGAAAGACGGGUGAGAAUCCCGUCCACCGAUUGACUAAGGUUUCCAGAGGAAGGCUCGUCCGCUCUGGGUUAGUCGGGUCCUAAGCUGAGGCCGACAGGCGUAGGCGAUGGAUAACAGGUUGAUAUUCCUGUACCACCUAUAAUCGUUUUAAUCGAUGGGGGGACGCAGUAGGAUAGGCGAAGCGUGCGAUUGGAUUGCACGUCUAAGCAGUAAGGCUGAGUAUUAGGCAAAUCCGGUACUCAUUAAGGCUGAGCUGUGAUGGGGAGAAGACAUUGUGUCUUCGAGUCGUUGAUUUCACACUGCCGAGAAAAGCCUCUAGAUAGAAAAUAGGUGCCCGUACCGCAAACCGACACAGGUAGUCAAGAUGAGAAUUCUAAGGUGAGCGAGCGAACUCUCGUUAAGGAACUCGGCAAAAUGACCCCGUAACUUCGGGAGAAGGGGUGCUCUUUAGGGUUAACGCCCAGAAGAGCCGCAGUGAAUAGGC